CUCAGGAGGCAGAAAGUCAAGCCUCGUUGUCACACCUGAAACCAGAUCCAGAACAGAGCUGCUCCGGCUGGACAGAAGAAGCUGACCCACGGGCUGCGUAUGACCAGGCCCUGAUGAAGCUCAUCAAGAGCUUUCCAAACUGUGACAGAGACUUCCUAGAGGACAUCCUUACCCAGUGUAACAGGGAUUACGAGGAGGCGUCCACACUACUUAUCAGCACACUGAGUUGAACUUCAUGUAUUAUAAAUUCUUUCCCCCAUAAACACAACAAUUUACAACAGUUCCUACAGGCAUCUAGAGGGGAAAGAGUUAAUGAAGGAGCUGUUUGUCCUUAAUUUUCUGUUUGAAACUUUAGGCCAUGGGCCAAAUAAGCAUAUUUACUCAGGGUGAAGAUGGUAGAGAAUUGGCAAAGACAAAGUUUAUCUACUUUGAUGGUGGAUCAGUAUACAAAGCAGUAGGGACUACAAUGCAUUAGACUCCUCUGAAAACAUACCUACAUAAUAUGUGCUCUAUGGGAUCUGUUUUUGAUUAUGCUAUUAAUCACUGAGUGUUUGGUGUUGUGUAUCUGUCUGCAUUCAGUAGUGAGUCAUGUUGUGGUUUUGUCUUGACAUCGAGUAGAAUUGAUGCUCGUUUUUACCAGUUUGGUUAAAGGUCUUCGUAAUGACUCAAAAUCUUCAGCUCAUAUUUGGAGCUCUUGAUUAAAUCAGUGUGUGCAAAUGGAAGAAAGCACUAGCAACAUGCAUGAUGCUUUUGUUCUGUUUUAUAAUCAAAGUUGUGUGCGAUGUAUCUAUAGUAGGAAAAUAAUAUCUAAGUAUGUCAUUUUUGACUUUAGAAAAUUGUUCUACCACAUUGUGCCAAUCGGGACAGAAACCUACAAAAUGACAUUUUUCCAAAGAAGUCCAAUUAUCCUUUUUGAAGCCGAGGUGUUUUUGUAGAAAGCCUUUGUUAUUAGUUUCAGUUCAAAGUCAAAGUUGUUUUAAGGGGCUGCAGGGAAACACUGUUUGGUUGAAUGUUCAUCAAUGUUUACAUUCAUGUGUUGUAGCCAUUUCAUCCCUUUGGUUCUCAUCAGUGUGUUACACAGUGGGCAGUGAGCUGCUGCUGGGGCAGUAAAAUUUAACCUCAUAACAUCAAUGAACUGAACAGCACAGGUGGUUAUAACCUGAUGGCGGCAACAAAAGAACAAAGGGCAUUGCUCUCAACACGAGGGCUGAAAAUCCCCUUUACUAAAGCAUGAAGUCAUGAAGAGUGCUACAGUGUUGAUGUCAUCAGGAAAUGUCUUCCUUUGGAGAACACCAAGAAAUCACAUAUUACUGCAGCAGUUUUACACUUAGUCAUGAAGGUAGAAAGAUGUUGGUGAUGCAUUUAAAUUUCAGUGAAAAAUAUUUACUGUUUGGUAUACCCCUAAAUAAACUCAUCUAUUUAAAUCAAA
ensembl:lncRNA